rnacentral:rRNA from 1 species
AGACCCGAAACCCGGUGAUCUAGCCAUGGGCAGGUUGAAGGUUGGGUAACACUAACUGGAGGACCGAACCGACUAAUGUUGAAAAAUUAGCGGAUGACCUGUGGCUGGGGGUGAAAGGCCAAUCAAACCGGGAGAUAGCUGGUUCUCCCCGAAAGCUAUUUAGGUAGCGCCUCGUGAAUUCAUCUCCGGGGGUAGAGCACUGUUUCGGCUAGGGGGCCAUCCCGGCUUACCAACCCGAUGCAAACUGCGAAUACCGGAGAAUGUUAUCACGGGAGACACACGGCGGGUGCUAACGUCCGUCGUGAAGAGGGAAACAACCCAGACCGCCAGCUAAGGUCCCAAAGUCAUGGUUAAGUGGGAAACGAUGUGGGAAGGCCCAGACAGCCAGGAUGUUGGCUUAGAAGCAGCCAUCAUUUAAAGAAAGCGUAAUAGCUCACUGGUCGAGUCGGCCUGCGCGGAAGAUGUAACGGGGCUAAACCAUGCACCGAAGCUGCGGCAGCGACGCUUAUGCGUUGUUGGGUAGGGGAGCGUUCUGUAAGCCUGUGAAGGUGGCCUGUG